rnacentral:lncRNA from 1 species
UGGUAUUUUGUCCAUGGAUUGGGGAUUACUAUCCUAAGCAGCCAGGAUUUUUCCAGUAGAGUUUUAUACAAUAAAAUAAGCAAUAUAUGUAUGUAUAAAUAUAUAAUAUAUCCUCUGAAUCUUCUAAUUUUCUAUAUUUGUGUUUGAAAUUACAAUCAAAGGCCAUGACCCAAGAUAUCCAUUCCUAAAAUAUACCCUGAAUUAGUGGCUUUCCAACCUUCUUCUACUUUGACCUGCAGUAAUAAAUCCAUUUUACCUUGUGAUCCAAUACACACACACCCUGAAAUAAAAAUUUCAUAAAACAAAGCUAAUGCUUGUUACAUGCAAUAGCUCUAGUAUUUUUAUUCUAUCUUCUUCAAUUUCUUUUUUCCUUCUUGUUUUCUUAAAAAUUGAUAUUACUAGUUCACCAGCGAAUUGGGACCCACAGUUUGAAAAGCACUGCCCCAGAAACUCUCACACAUACAUAAAAUGUUUAUAGCAGCACUGUUCGAAAUAGCAAAUAAGUAGGGAAAUGUGUAUGGCUAAUGAUAAACAUUGUGUAUCAAAAUGGAGUAUGACUUGGAUUGGGAGGUUAGAAAAGGACUUUUGAGGAAAUGACACUUACAUUUAGACUAGAGGGUAAAGCCUGGUAAAGAGUAUUGGACACUGAGCAGGCUUUGAGUAAGCAAAACCUUGGCACCCUCCAGGAACUGAAGAAGGCUAACGUGGUAGGGCCAUAGCCAAGGAGAGAGAUAUGUCAUAAGAUCGGGAUAGUAGGGAUAAAUUGUGCAAUGUUUUGUAGGCAAUAUUGAGGAUGGAGGAUUUUUAUUUAUCUAAGUGCAGUGGGUAGUCAUCGAGGGGUUUUAAGCUGGGAAAUAACACAAUCAAAUUUAUCUUUUUAACCAUUGCCCUGGUUCCUAUGUGAAG